rnacentral:rRNA from 1 species
ACGACGCUGGCGGCGUGCUUAACACAUGCAAGUCGAACGGAGAUUAUUAAUGAAGCUUGCGAUUUAAUAAUCUUAGUGGCGGACGGGUGAGUAACGCGUGGGCAACCUACCCAUAAGCGGGGGAUAACAGUCGGAAACGACUGCUAAUACCGCAUAAGCUAUUAAGGUCGCAUGACCUAAAUAGUAAAGGUGGCAUUUUAACAGUGCUAUCACUUAUGGAUGGGCCCGCGUCUGAUUAGCUAGUUGGUGGGGUAGCAGCCUACCAAGGCAACGAUCAGUAGCCGGCCUGAGAGGGUGGACGGCCACACUGGGACUGAGACACGGCCCAGACUCCUACGGGAGGCAGCAGUGGGGAAUAUUGCGCAAUGGGGGAAACCCUGACGCAGCGACGCCGCGUGAGCGAAGAAGGCCUUAGGGUCGUAAAGCUCUGUUGUAAGGGACGAAUGUUUGUCUGGCGAACAGUCAGAUAAAGUGACGGUACCUUACCAGCAAGCCCCGGCUAACUACGUG